AAUAGUUUAAUAUUACAUCAGUAUUUUUAUCUUGAAUUUCAAUAGUUUCAUCCUAAAAAAAAAUCAAAUCCAAAUAAAAAUCUUGAAAUUCAGGAUAAAAUUAUUGAUGUAGCAUUAAACUAUU
rnacentral:pre_miRNA from 1 species